CUUUUCUUCCUCUCUUUUAGUCAAACAUCCCUCAAUGCCUUGGUCUCUUCUACAACCUCCCAUUUCUGCUAGACACUUUGAGAGACAGAAACCCAUUAUUUCCAGAGAUCACAAUGGUGCUUUUAGAUGACCUAGCAUGCAGACAGGUCUUCCUUACAGCAUGAAGCACCUUCCCUCCCUGCAGUUCCUGUCUAUCUAUUCUCCAUUCCACCCCUGAAUGACACUCACCCACAAUACAGCAUUCUAGUUCUUCCAAGGCCUUUGGUAAAGAAGGUAGACAAGACAAAGCUUGUUCUGUAUGACCUGCAGAAUGACGAGUGUCUGUGGGCUAAAUUACAAAAGAUAUCAACAGGUUCCCUGGGCCAGGAAAUGAAGUACCUUCACCCGCACACCUGCCUAGGUUGAUCUCAUGAAUUGAAGAAAAGAAAAGAAUUCUCAUCAAUAGGUAUUUCCAGAAGCAAUUCUUAGAUGCUUAAAGGGGGG
rnacentral:lncRNA from 1 species